AGAUAUGAUCCAGAGUACCACGGGACACGUGAAACCCUGUGGGAAGCAGGAGGGACCACCCUCCAAGGCUAAAUACUACCUAGUGACCGAUAGCGUAUAGUACCGUGAGGGAAAGGUGAAAAGAACCCCGGGAGGGGAGUGAAAUAGAACCUGAAACCCUGCACUUACAAGCUGUGGAAGCACAUUUCUUGUGUGACCGCGUACUUUUUGUAGAACGGGCCAACGAGUUACGUUAAGUAGCAAGGUUAAGCACUUAAGGUGCGGAGCCGUAGCGAAAGCGAGUUUUAACUGAGCGUUCAGUUACUUGACGUAGACCCGAAACCGGGCGACCUACCCAUGAGCAGGAUGAAGCGAAAGUAAAAUUUCGUGGAGGUCCGAACCCACGAGCGUUGAAAAGCUCGGGGAUGACUUGUGGGUAGCGGUGAAAUUCCAAUCGAGCCCGGAGAUAGCUGGUUCUCCCCGAAAUAGCUUUAGGGCUAGCCUCAAGGUGAGAGAUACGGAGGUAGAGCACUGAAUGUCCUAGGGGGUAUUGCACCUACCGAAGACUAUCAAACUCCGAAUGCCGUCAUCUUAUACUUGGGAGUCAGACUGUGGGUGAUAAGAUUCAUAGUCGAAAGGGCAACAGCCCAGAUCGUCAGCUAAGGUCCCUAAAUGUAAGUUAAGUGGUAAAGGAUGUGGGAUUGCACAGACAACCAGGAUGUUGGCUUAGAAGCAGCCACUCAUUCAAAGAGUGCGUAAUAGCUCACUGGUCGAGUGAUCCUGCGCCGAAGAUUUCCGGGGCUAAAACUUACUACCGAAGCUACGGCAUCAGUAAUGAUGGGUAGGGGAGCUUCCCAUACGGGUUGAAGCAUGACCGUAAGGACAUGUGGACAGUAUGGGAGUGAGAAUGUUGGCAUGAGUAGCGAGAUGUGGGUGAGAAUCCCACAGGCCGUAAACCCAAGGUUUCCAGGGGAAGGUUCGUCCGCCCUGGGUUAGUCGGGACCUAAGCUGAGGCCGAAAGGCGUAGGUGAUGGACAACAGGUUGAUAUUCCUGUACUACCGAUAACCGUUUGAGAGAAGGGAUGACACAGUAGGAUAAGCUAAGCACACUGUUGGUUAUGUGUGCCCAAGCAUUGAGGCAGUCAAAGUAGGCAAAUCCGCUUUGAUAAUGCUGGGAUGUGAUGGGGAGCGAAAUUUAGUAGCGAAGUAGCUGAUUUCACACUGUCAAGAAAAGUCUCUAUCGAGGUUAAAGGUACCCGUACCGCAAACCGACACAGGUGGGUGAGGAGAGUAUCCUAAGGCCAGCGAGAGAACUGUUGUUAAGGAACUCGGCAAAAUGACCCCGUAACUUAGGGAUAAGGGGUGCCACCAUCAGGUGGCCGCAGAGAAUAGGCCCAAGCGACUGUUUACCAAAAACAUAGGUUUCUGCUAAGUCGCAAGACGAUGUAUAGGAGCUGACGCCUGCCCGGUGCUGGAAGGUUAAGGGGAUCUGUUAGAGCAAUCGAAGCAGUGAACUUAAGCCCCAGUAAACGGCGGCCGUAACUAUAACGGUCCUAAGGUAGCGAAAUUCCUUGUCGGGUAAGUUCCGACCCGCACGAAAGGCGUAACGAUUUGGGCACUGUCUCAACAACAGACUCGGUGAAAUUGUAAUUCCGGUGAAGAUGCCGGAUACCUGCGACAGGACGGAAAGACCCCAUGGAGCUUUACUGUAGCUUGACAUUGGGUCUUGGUACUACAUGUACAGGAUAGGUGGGAGGCUUUGAAACCAGGACGCCAGUUUUGGCGGAGCCAUCCUUGGGAUACCACCCUUGUAGUACUGGGACUCUAACCAUAGGCCAUGAAUCUGGUCUUGGGACACUGUCAGGUGGGCAGUUUGACUGGGGCGGUCGCCUCCCAAAAGGUAACGGAGGCGCUCAAAGGUUCUCUCAGUACGGUCGGAAAUCGUACGUAGAGUGUAAAGGCAAAAGAGAGCUUGAUUGCAAGACAUACAGGUCGAGCAAGGAUGAAAAUCGGACUUAGUGAUCCGGUGGUUCUGCGUGGAAGGGCCAUCGCUCAACGGAUAAAAGCUACCCUGGGGAUAACAGGCUUAUCUCCCCCAAGAGUCCACAUCGACGGGGAGGUUUGGCACCUCGAUGUCGGCUCAUCACAUCCUGGGGCUGUAGUAGGUCCCAAGGGUUGGGCUGUUCGCCCAUUAAAGUGGUACGCGAGCUGGGUUCAGAACGUCGUGAGACAGUUCGGUCCCUAUCCGUCGCAGGCGUAGGAAAUUUGAGAAGACCUGUCCUUAGUACGAGAGGACCGGGAUGGACGUACCUCUGGUGUACCAGUUGU
rnacentral:rRNA from 1 species